AGGACGAACGCUGGCGGCGUGCUUAACACAUGCAAGUCGAGCGGAAAGGCCCUUCGGGGUACUCGAGCGGCGAACGGGUGAGUAACACGUGAGCAACCUGCCCUUAGCUUCGGGAUAGCUCCGGGAAACCGGAAUUAAUACCGAAUAUGACUUUGGCUGACAUCAGCAGAAGUGGAAAGUUUUUCGGCUAGGGAUGGACUCGCGGCCUAUCAGCUAGUUGGUGAGGUAACGGCCCACCAAGGCGACGACGGGUAGCCGGCCUGAGAGGGCGACCGGCCACACUGGGACUGAGACACGGCCCAGACUCCUACGGGAGGCAGCAGUGGGGAAUAUUGCGCAAUGGGCGAAAGCCUGACGCAGCGACGCCGCGUGGGGGAUGAAUGCCUUCGGGUUGUAAACCCCUUUCAGCAGGGACGAAGCGAAAGUGACGGUACCUGCAGAAGAGCGCCGGCUAACUACGCGCCAGCAGCCGC
rnacentral:rRNA from 1 species